rnacentral:rRNA from 1 species
GCGCCAGAGAGGGUGAGAGCCCCGUAAGCGAAAUCCAAAGGAGGCCUAUCAGUAUCCUGAGUAGGGCGGGACACGUGAAAUCCCGUUUGAAUCCGCGAGGACCAUCUCGCAAGGCUAAAUACUAACCAGUGACCGAUAGUGAACCAGUACCGUGAGGGAAAGGUGAAAAGAACCCCGGGAGGGGAGUGAAAGAGAACCUGAAACCGUGUGCCUACAAGUAGUCAGAGCCCGUUAACGGGUAAUGGCGUGCCUUUUGUAGAAUGAACCGGCGA